AGGUCGUGAUUCUUCAUAACAACAUCCGCUUGACCUCGCAAUGCCAUGAAGAAGAAAGGCGUGGAACAUUUGCUUAAGAUCUUCAGCAGAUGUUUGAGAAAAAAAAUCAUCAUCCUCUUCGUCACUCUUCAUCCGUAUUUGGGGUAACAAACACCUGCUUCCCACAAGAGACUGGACCUCUGAAGUCAGAUAAUUUUACUGGUACAAUGUUGGAUGGAUCAUCAGACCUGCACCUUCCUUGAACAUGUUGGUAACUUACUCUGUAUUUGUUCACGGUGGUCACCCCAGGGUUUCAGGACUCAAAACGAGUGCUCUAUGGAUUGAACAGAAAAUGUGGAUCAACACUCCAACCAUCUGCAUUAGGGACUGAAUAAAGGAUGCCCUCUGUAGCUGGGAAUGUUAGAUCAGCUUUGCCCCAUUCAGCAACAUGAGCAACUGUGACCAUCGACAACAGGAAGUGGGCAUGUCCAGCUAUGCCACAACGUUGAGGAAAGUUCAACUUGAUGAAGGACUUUUGGGAGAAACUACCAAUGAGAGUGAAGCAGUGAAGUUCAUGUCAUCACUCUUUUGUCAUUUACUGAGAGGAUUGUUACUCAUUUGUUUGUAGUUUUUACUAGGACAACCAGAAUUGGGAACGCCUUCUGAUAAACUCAUUAAAAGAAAUGGCUGACACACAGUGACUAGGUUGUUGGCGGUGUGAAUGCAGCAUAAGGCCUUAAACUGUCUGUGGCAAAUAUUUUUAGCACUCAAAAUAAAUAGGAGUGCUGCUUUUAAAGGAAAACACCACAGUUUUUCAAUAUUUUACUAUGUUCUUACCUCAACUUAGAUAAAUUAAUACAUCCCUAUCUUUCAUCAAUGCAUGCACUUAAUAUUUGUACAGCGCGUCGUGAAUGUGUUAGCAUUUAGCCUAGCCCCAUUCAUUCCUCGGCGCGCAGUAACAUCAUCACUCCUGACAACUCCCCCUCUUUUAAGUUUGAGCGAGAGGUGGAGUAAUCAGGAGUGAUGAUGUUACUGUGCGCCGAGGUCGAAGUGCUGCAAACUUAGUGCUCUUUUGCCAUACAAUAUAGUUCUCAUUUUUAUCCGCUUAAAAAAUUGCCACAUUUUAUUUUGUGCCACCAUACUUACUCGUGUAACUACUUAUGUAACAGUCUUUAAAUAGGGAAAACGGGUUGGGUGGCUUCUAAAUUCAUCCCUGUUUGGAUCCAACGCGCUGUACAAAGAUUAAGUGCACGCUUUGCAAAAAGAUGGGUAAGUAUAAAUUCGUCUAAAGUAAAAACAUAGUAACAUUUUGGAAAGCGGUGGUGUUUUCCAUUUAAAGGGAUAGUUCACCCAAAAAUGAAAAUAAUGUAAUUAAUGACUCACCCUCAUGUUGUUCCAAACUUGUAAGACCUCCGUUCAUCUUCGGAAC